GCUGAGUGGCGCACGGGUGAGUAACGCGUAACUGACCUGCCCCUUAAUCGUGGAUAACGCGCCGAAAGGCACGCUAAUACAUGAUGUGCUGUUCCUUUUCUGGAGGACCAGUAAAGACUUGAUCGUUAAGGGAUGGGGUUGCGUUUCAUCAGCUAGUUGGUGGGGUAAAGGCCUACCAAGGCGACGACGAAUAGCCGGCCUGAGAGGGUGGCCGGCCACAGGGGCACUGAGACACGGGUCCC
rnacentral:rRNA from 1 species